GACAGAGGGGGCCAGCGUUGUCCGGAUUGACUGGGCGUACAGCGCGCGCAGGUGGCCCGGUAAGUCCGCUCUGAAAGUCAAAGGCUCAACCUUUGAAAGCGGGUGGAUACUGUCGGGCUAGAGUCCGGAAGAGGCGAGUGGAAUUCCUGGUGUAGCGGUGGAAUGCGCAGAUAUCAGGAGGAACACCAACGGCGAAGGCAGCUCGCUGGGACGGUACUGACACUAAGGCGCGAAAGCGUGGGGAGCGAACAGG
rnacentral:rRNA from 1 species